rnacentral:rRNA from 1 species
UACGAAGGGGGCGAGCGUUGUUCGGAAUUACUGGGCGUAAAGGGCGCGCAGGCGGCUCUGAAAGUCAGAUGUGAAAGCCCCGGGCUCAACCUGGGAAUUGCGAUGGAGACUGCAAGGCUUGAAUCUGGCAGAGGGGGGUAGAAUUCCACGUGUAGCAGUGAAAUGCGUAGAGAUGUGGAGGAACACCGAUGGCGAAGGCAGCCCCCUGGGUCAAGAUUGACGCUCAUGCACGAAAGCGUGGGGAGCAAACAGG